GCCAAGGAAGGUAACUCUGUUCGUCUUGUACGUGUUCGCCCAGCUGUGAGUGUCUUAAUCAUUGUUUGUAGCUCAGUGUUCUGCCAACAUGUCACAUUUUAGCAGGACCUUAGCUACACAAACGCCACCUGCUGGUUUCUACGGACUAUGAACAUCGGAAGCCCCUAUUAUUAUCCAUAUCAAAUGGGCCCAACACCAGUUCCACCUAUCUACGGAGCACCACUACAAGCAGUUAAAAUUGAACCGGAUUCCAAUCUAGCAAAAAUGAUGAAAGGCAAGAGGAAAAUCAAGUCAGAACCCAUUGAGG
rnacentral:lncRNA from 1 species